rnacentral:rRNA from 1 species
UUAUAAUGUAUUAUACAAUCGGCUAAUAAAAAUAACAACUACAAAACCAAAGAACUUGGCAGUGCUUGAUAUAAUCAGGGGAGCCUGUUGCUUAAUUCGAUAACCCACGAUCAUCUUACCAUCUAAAUAACUAGUUUGUGUAUUGCCGCCAAAGUCUAACUUUAAAACCUAGACAAAAACUAUGCCACAAUCAAAUACCAGGUCAAAAUGCAGCUAAUAAUAUGGAGCUAAAUGGACUACAUAUCUUACAACAAACUUUAUCACUUAUAGACAAAAUUAUAUAGAACUUGCCAGUAAUAAUAUUUUAACAUAAUACUAUAAAACUAAAUCAAACAUGCACACAUCGCCCGUCACUCUCACUGAAAAGUA